rnacentral:rRNA from 1 species
GGGUUGUGAGGUUAAGCGACUAAGCGUACACGGUGGAUGCCCUGGCAGUCAGAGGCGAUGAAGGACGUGCUAAUCUGCGAUAAGCGUCGGUAAGGUGAUAUGAACCGUUAUAACCGGCGAUUUCCGAAUGGGGAAACCCAGUGUGAUUCGUCACACUAUCGUUAAGUGAAUACAUAGCUUAACGAAGCGAACCGGGGGAACUGAAACAUCUAAGUACCCCGAGGAAAAGAAAUCAACCGAGAUUCCCCCAGUAGCGGCGAGCGAACGGGGAACAGCCCAGAACCUGAAUCAGUUUGUGUGUUAGUGGAAGCGUCUGGAAAGUCGCAGGGUACAGGGUGAUACUCCCGUACACUAAAAUGCACAGGCUGUGAGUUCGAAGAGUAGGGCGGGACACGUGGUAUCCUGUCUGAAUAUGGGGGGACCAUCCUCCAAGGCUAAAUACUCCUGACUGACCGAUAGUGAACCAGUACCGUGAGGGAAAGGCGAAAAGAACCCCGGCGAGGGGAGUGAAACAGAACCUGAAACCGUGUACGUACAAGCAGUGGGAGCCUCUUUUAUGGGGUGACUGCGUACCUUUUGUAUAAUGGGUCAGCGACUUAUAUUCUGUAGCAAGGUUAACCGUAUAGGGGAGCCGCAGGGAAACCGAGUCUUAACUGGGCGUUAAGUUGCAGGGUAUAGACCCGAAACCCGGUGAUCUAGCCAUGGGCAGGUUGAAGGUUGGGUAACACUAACUGGAGGA